rnacentral:piRNA from 1 species
UGACGUGGCUGGAAACCUUGGGUUGA